GCCCAGAGCCUGAAUCAGUGUGUGUGUUAGUGGAAGCGUCUGGAAAGGCGCGCGAUACAGGGUGACAGCCCCGUACACAAAAAUGCACAUGCUGUGAGCUCGAUGAGUAGGGCGGGACACGUGGUAUCCUGUCUGAAUAUGGGGGGACCAUCCUCCAAGGCUAAAUACUCCUGACUGACCGAUAGUGAACCAGUACCGUGAGGGAAAGGCGAAAAGAACCCCGGCGAGGGGAGUGAAAAAGAACCUGAAACCGUGUACGUACAAGCAGUGGGAGCACGCUUAGGCGUGUGACUGCGUACCUUUUGUAUAAUGGGUCAGCGACUUAUAUUCUGUAGCAAGGUUAACCGAAUAGGGGAGCCGAAGGGAAACCGAGUCUUAACUGGGCGUUAAGUUGCAGGGUAUAGACCCGAAACCCGGUGAUCUAGCCAUGGGCAGGUUGAAGGUUGGGUAACACUAACUGGAGGACCGAACCGACUAAUGUUGAAAAAUUAGCGGAUGACUUGUGGCUGGGGGUGAAAGGCCAAUCAAACCGGGAGAUAGCUGGUUCUCCCCGAAAGCUAUUUAGGUAGCGCCUCGUGAAUUCAUCUCCGGGGGUAGAGCACUGUUUCGGCAAGGGGGUCAUCCCGACUUACCAACCCGAUGCAAACUGCGAAUACCGGAGAAUGUUAUCACGGGAGACACACGGCGGGUGCUAACGUCCGUCGUGAAGAGGGAAACAACCCAGACCGCCAGCUAAGGUCCCAAAGUCAUGGUUAAGUGGGAAACGAUGUGGGAAGGCCCAGACAGCCAGGAUGUUGGCUUAGAAGCAGCCAUCAUUUAAAGAAAGCGUAAUAGCUCACUGGUCGAGUCGGCCUGCGCGGAAGAUGUAACGGGGCUAAACCAUGCACCGAAGCUGCGGCAGCGACACUGUGUGUUGUUGGGUAGGGGAGCGUUCUGUAAGCCUGUGAAGGUGUACUGUGAGGUAUGCUGGAGGUAUCAGAAGUGCGAAUGCUGACAUAAGUAACGAUAAAGCGGGUGAAAAGCCCGCUCGCCGGAAGACCAAGGGUUCCUGUCCAACGUUAAUCGGGGCAGGGUGAGUCGACCCCUAAGGCGAGGCCGAAAGGCGUAGUCGAUGGGAAACAGGUUAAUAUUCCUGUACUUGGUGUUACUGCGAAGGGGGGACGGAGAAGGCUAUGUUGGCCGGGCGACGGUUGUCCCGGUUUAAGCGUGUAGGCUGGUUUUCCAGGCAAAUCCGGAAAAUCAAGGCUGAGGCGUGAUGACGAGGCACUACGGUGCUGAAGCAACAAAUGCCCUGCUUCCAGGAAAAGCCUCUAAGCAUCAGGUAACAUCAAAUCGUACCCCAAACCGACACAGGUGGUCAGGUAGAGAAUACCAAGGCGCUUGAGAGAACUCGGGUGAAGGAACUAGGCAAAAUGGUGCCGUAACUUCGGGAGAAGGCACGCUGAUAUGUAGGUGAAGUCCCUCGCGGAUGGAGCUGAAAUCAGU
rnacentral:rRNA from 1 species